rnacentral:lncRNA from 8 species
AUGUUGGAGAUCAUUGUAAGACAUCAUAUUAGACAUAAAGAUGACAGGACAGGCUUCAACAGCGAUGCCAUCCAGACCAAAUCAAUUAACGUUAUACAGAAGUUAUUGACAAAGUCUCCAACAGCGACACAAACAGUGUAUGACGUCAACCCCAGCACAGAAGAGAACACUACUGAAUUUAUUUUCAACAAAACUGAAAUGUCAAGGUCGCUUACAGAGGUUGUCUGUCCAUCACAUUGUACAUUAUCAUCAUUUGAAGCAUCAGAUACUCACCCCACAGCUACCCAGAGAAGUAUCUGGAGCCAUAAAUGUAGCCAGAGCCAGCAGGACCGACAGCCUGUACAUUCCUUCCUAGAUAAUGACAUCUCCACUAAGAGGGAAUCCUUUUCAGACCAAAAAAUACUGUUGUCACCUCAGAGAGUACUCAUAAGAAGAAAACAAGCCGCCUCAGACAAGGCAUGAUUGCAGGUCCCAUAGCUAGUUCUUCCCAGGUACAGUGUUUGACUAAAUGAAACCUGGGUCGUAUUCAUUAGUGCACACUGUAGUAAAACGCUUCACAACGCAAAACAAAAAGGAGUUUUUUUUUAUUGGAGAAGUUCAGUCCCUCCCUGUUUGACUGUUUUCUUCAGUUUGGUGCCUUUGUAACCGAUGUGAAAUGGCUAGUUAGUUAGCGGUUGUGCGCGCUAAUAGCGUUUCAAUCGGUGACGUCACUCGCUCUGAGACCUGAAGUGGUUGUUCCCCUUGCGUUGCAAGGGCCGCGGCUUUUGUGGCGCGAUGGGUAACGAUGCUUCGUGGGUGUCAGUUGUUGAUGUGUGCAAGGGUCCCUGGUUCGAGCCCAGGUUGGGGCGAAGAGAGGGACGGAACCUACACUGUUACGCCUUGUGAAUACAACCAGAUAUUGGUAUAAGGGAUUUGUAUAUUCAUAAUCAUGGAUACUGUCACGAUCGUCGUUGGAAGCAUACUUGGACCAUAGCGCAGCGUGAUCUGGGUUCCACAUGUUUAUUAAAUGAAACUCAAAAAAAACUAAACAAUAAAGAAUAAACGAACACGUGAAGGUAAUGAAGUGCUCACAGACAACUACACAAAAACAAGAUCCCACAAAACACAGUGGGGAAAUGGCUGCCUAAAUAUGAUCCCCAAUCAGAGACAACGCUAAACAGCUGCCUCUGAUUGGGAACCAUACCAGGCCAACAAAGAAAUACACACACUAGAUUACCCACUCUAGUCACACCCCGAUCUAACCAAAAUAGAGAAUAAAAAGGCUCUAUGGUCAGGGCGUGACAGUACCCCCCCCCCCCCAAAGGUGCGGACUCCGGCCGCAAAACCUGACUCAAUAGGGGAGGGUCUGGGUGGGCAUCUAGUGUUGGUGGCGGCUCCGGUGCAGGGUGAAGUACCCACUCCGCUCGCGGAUCCGCCAGCAUCGGUGGCGGCUCUGGUGCGGGACUUUGCCCCCGCCCAGACCACAGGUCCAGCCAUGGAGCCGGGUAGAAUGCCGUGCCCGGACUGGGCCUCGGCGCAGAGGAGGACCCCGGCCAUGGAGCUGGGUUGAACGCCGCACCUGGACUGGGCACCGGCGCCGAGGAAGGCUCCGGCCAUGGAGCUGAGUUGGCCGCAGUGCCUGGACUGGACAUCGGCGCAGAGGAAGGCUCCUGCCAUGGAGCGGGACUGGACGCCGUGCCUGGACUGGGCACCGGCGCAGAGGAAGGCUCCGGCCUUGGAGCUGGACUGGACGCCGUGCUUGGACUGGGCACCGGCGCAGUGGAAGGCUCCUGCCCUGGAGCGGGUCUGGACGCCGUGCCUGGGCUGGGCACCGGCGCAAAGGAGGGCUCCGGCCUGUGGACCGUCGCAGGAGGUUCCGGAUUGCGGACCGUCGUAGGAG